GCAUAUCAAAAAAGCGGAGGAAAAGAAACUAACAAGGAUUCCCCUAGUAACUGCGAGUGAAGCGGGAAAAGCUCAAAUUUAAAAUCUGGUGGUCUUUGGCCAUCCGAGUUGUAAUCUAGAGAAGUGUUAUCCGCGCUGGACCGUGUACAAGUCCCCUGGAAUGGGGCGUCAUAGAGGGUGAGAAUCCCGUCUUUGACACGGACUACCAGGGCUUUGUGAUGCACUCUCAAAGAGUCGAGUUGUUUGGGAAUGCAGCUCAAAAUGGGUGGUAAAUUCCAUCUAAAGCUAAAUAUUGGCGAGAGACCGAUAGCGAACAAGUACCGUGAGGGAAAGAUGAAAAGAACUUUGGAAAGAGAGUUAAACAGUACGUGAAAUUGUUGAAAGGGAAACGCUUGAAGUCAGUCGCGUCUGCCAGGGAUCAACCUUACUUUUGUGAGGCGUACUUCCUGGUUGAUGGGUCAGCAUCAGUUUUGGUCGCUGGAUAAAGGUCAGAGAAAUGUGGCACCUUCGGGUGUGUUAUAGUCUUUGAUCAGAUACAGUGGCUGGGACUGAGGAACUCAGCGCCGCAAGGCUGUCUUAGGAUGCUGGCAAAAUGGCUUUAAUCGACCCGUCUUGAAACACGGACCAAAGGAGUC
rnacentral:rRNA from 1 species